UUAUCCGGAAUUAUUGGGCGUACAGGGUGCGUAGGCGGUUGUGUAAGUUUAAGGUUAAAUCCCAGAGCUCAACUCUGGUUCGCCUUAAAAACUACAUAACUAGAAUGUGACAGAGGUAAACGGAAUUCCAUGUGUAGCGGUGAAAUGCGUAGAUAUAUGGAAGAACACCUGUGGCGAAAGCGGUUUACUGGGUCAUUAUUGACGCUGAUGCACGAAAGCGUGGGGAGCAAAUAGGAUUAGAUACCCUAGUAGUCCACGCCGUAAACGUUGAGUAUUAAGUGUCGGACAUAAGUUCGGUGCUGCAGCUAACGCAUUAAAUACUCCGCCUGAGUAGUAUGCACGCAAGUGUGAAACUCAAAGGAAUUGACGGGGACCCGCACAAGUGGUGGAGCAUGUGGUUUAAUUCGAAGCAACACGAAGAACCUUACCAGGGCUUGACAUCCAGUGCAAUGAUAUAGAGAUAUAUCGGAGGCUAACAUUGAGACAGGUGGUGCAUGGUUGUCGUCAGUUCGUGCCGUGAGGUGUUGGGUUAAGUCCCGCAACGAACGCAACCCUUGUCAUUAGUUACUAACAUUCAGUUGAGGACUCUAAUGAGACUGCUAGUGUAAGCUAGAGGAAGGUGGGGAUGACGUCAAAUCAUCAUGCCCCUUAUGUCCUGGGCUACACACGUGCUACAAUGGCCGAUACAAAGAGUCGCAAUCCCGCGAGGAGGAGCUAAUCUCAUAAAGUCGGUCUCAGUUCGGAUUGAAGGCUGCAACUCGCCUUCAUGAAGCCGGAAUCACUAGUAAUCGCAGAUCAGCUAUGCUGCGGUGAAUACGUUCUCGGGUCUUGUACACACCGCCCGUCACACCACGAGAGUUGGUAA
rnacentral:rRNA from 1 species